CAACUACACAUAGCAGAAGAAGCUUCCAGCCUAACAUCUGACCCAUGGACUUGGACCGUGCCCAGACUUGGAACUCUCCAGCCAUCAAGUAUCCCCUGAAGUGACCCUGGAAGUGAUGUGACCAGCCCAGCGUUCCCUCCCAGCAUGGUUUCCAAACAGAGCAGAUGUGCUCUCCUCCCGGUGGCUAUGGGCUUGGAACAGAGAGAAAUGUUCUCAGCUGGCCCGCAGACCAGCACCGACGUCAGCACUUGGCUCCUGCCCAGGUCUGGACCUGUCAGUAGUAGAAGGAAGCCGAGGCUUGGAGAGGGGACGUCAUCUGUUCCUGGGUAGCAGAUGCCAAAGGCCGGAGUGGAACCAGAUCUAUUCAGCUUGAAAUCCUUCACCGGU